CAGGGCUCAUAUCACAGUAUGCUGUCACUCAAUGAAGAGACAACAAAAGAAAACAGAUUAAAGUCAAGAAACUUGGGGAAAUGACAUCAAACUAAGAGAGUAUUCUCUAAGCUGGCUAUACUUUGAGUGUCAACCUGGAACAUACCCGUGGAGAGCAAAACUAAGAAACAGCAACAGGUAAAUGAUGGAAAAGAUGCCUGCAGCCUGAGACUGAAGUCCCCUACAGAGAUCCACUACUGAGAUGAGUUACCUUCACCUCCUCCUUCAUUUAUGUACAACGUAUGUGCUGAGUUUCCAGUACGCUGACUCAUCUCCAUUAGGGCACAUGGCCCAUCCCAUACCAGCUUUCCUGUACUUGUGUUUGUGAUUUUUCAUAUCUGUCACCCCAGUCAGGUCAAUCCCAAAGUCAUAGCAAUGAGUUUGCUUCUCAUAAACAUUCUGAUCAUCUUACCCAUUCUCAGUUUUAAGCAAUCCUUUUGUUUCUUCACAUUAUUACAAUUUCUUCUUACAUUAAUUUUAUUGUUCAUUGUCUGGUAUAAGCUAUAGAUAUUGCAGUGAAACCAUCAAUAGUAAUAAUAAGGAAAUCAAAUAUUUUUAGCCAAAAUCUAAAGUUCUAGCUAGAUGGUUGAGCAGUUGAGAGUGAUGGCUGCUCUGGAGGACCAGAAUUCGUUUCCCAAGUAUCCACACAUUGGCUGCUUCACAACCAUCCUGUCCUGAUAAGUUUUGUGCCAUCUUGACACAAGGUGGAGUUAUCUUGGAGGAGAUUAUUAUCUGAGGUAAUGCCACCAUCAGAUUGCCAGCAGGCAUGCCUGCUGAGCAUUUUCUUGAUUGAUGAUGGAUGUGGAAGGGCCUAACCUAUCACACAGACCUGUGUUUUUACUUAUUUCACUCAAAUUCCCUUAGACUGUUGUAUUUAGCUCAGAGCCACAUAAAUUGUUUUUGUUUUGAGUCAGAAAUAACAACUGUACAGAUAUCUGGGGCUGUCACAAUAAUUUAGCAGGUAAAAGCCCUUGCCACACAUUUCUAACAACCUGUGUUUAGACCUCAGAACCCAAGGUGGAAGAAGAGAAUUGACUCCUGAAAGUUGUUCUUUGACCGCCAUCUAUAUCCUUUUGCAUGGAUACACACCUGCAUGCAUGCACACACUCAGAAUAAUCAUUAUAUGGGAAUUUGAAAAAGGAGAAAGUUGAACA
rnacentral:lncRNA from 1 species